AUGGAGUUCUCCAUGGUUGAUCACCCACCCUGUGCCAGACAUUUGGGCGAUGAUGUGGCCAUCGCGGAGGCAGGCCAAGGCAGGACUCUGAUGUUUGUGCCUAAACCGGACACAGAACGCCUUAUUUAUACCGUUUGGUGGCGAAACAAUGGUGGGAAUUCCACCCAGUGGCAGAUGGAGAAGACAAUCUCGCUGGAUUCUGACUGCUUAAUCGAGGGUGCAGUCGGGAGGCACCUGCUCCUGUAUUAUAUUGGAGUCUCGUCGGCGAAGCAAGGUUGUUACACGCAGGACGUCGACACAUUGCAGCUUGAGAGGGUGUGCUAUUCAUGUCCAAAACAGUCACAAGUAUAUUGGAACUUCCCACCAUCGUUAUGA
rnacentral:rRNA from 1 species